rnacentral:lncRNA from 1 species
UGGAAGGAUAUAUGUAGUGAGAUAUCCACCCCAUCCACACCUGUAGCACUGACCAUGCCCGUUUGGGUGUGGUCACAGGCUCGGAGUGACAGAGGGAAGGACUAGACCUGGGGUCUCUGACCUCAGUGCUCUCUCUUGCUUCCAGUCUGGACAGAGAACAGCCUGGGUGGAUACUUGGAGCUGGAACCUGAGGAGGUCACCCGCCUCUUGUUUAUAAAGAAAAUGACAUUAUGGAAUAUGGAAGAAAAUGGAUGGAACUGGAAAACACUAUAAUCAAUGAGAUGAAUAAUAUUCCAUGGUGUAUAUGUGCUACAUUUUUAUUAUCCAUUCUUCAGCUGAAGGCAAUUUCGAC